rnacentral:lncRNA from 1 species
GCCACCCACGCCACCAACUCCACCAAGCCCACUUGAACCACCGAGCCCACUAGCACCACCGAGGCCACCGACUCCACCAAUUCCUCCAAGCCCACCAGCACCACCGAGGCCAGUAAUCCCACCAAGACCUCCAACUCCACCAAACGGAAGCCCAUUAGAACCAAUGCCGGAGAAGCCACCAACACCACCGUAUGUUAGAAAGUUCUUUUGAUCAUCAAGGCCAGCAUCAGUGGGCGCACUUUUGGCAGUGUUAUGAACCACUUGAUCAUCAUGAUCACUAGGCGUAUUUCUUGCACUAGUGUGAACCGCUGCUACAGCAAGAACAAGCAUGACAUUGGCACACCACUUUGCCAUCUCUCUCAAAGAUUAUUAUUAUUUGAUUACUAUUAUGAAUUUUUCUUCUUAGUACAUGUGAACUAUUGUUGCGGGAGUCUCCUUAUAAAGGCUAAGAGGGCAUUGGGGAGGUAGUUGUGGGUAGUAAAUAGAAUUGAAUGCGGGCAACUUAGCUGGCACACUCGCUCAUAAGGUCUGCUGUUUGAAAUAUAUAUUUUCAAGGAUUUGUGCUUAGAGUAAAAUUGUUAUAGGAGUCAUCGUAAUGGUUUAAACGCCUGCUGUACGGCCAAGGCGGAUGUACGGUACAGCAGAAAUUUUGUUUUCAGAAGUACUGCAAGUUUUAAAAACAAUUAUGGACGUUUGAUAAAUUUUACUAUUAAACUGCUGAGAGUAAGUAAAUGAUUAAAAUAUAAAUAAUAUAGGAUAAAAUUUACUUAUACAUGUGAAAACACGUACACACAAUAUUUUUAAUUUUGUAUGAUGAUAAUUUUAACUAAAAAUAAAAUUUAUAAUAUAUAUUGAUUUUAUUUUUUAUCGUAAACAAUUGAUAAUUAAAUUUAUAAUAUAGUGAAACAAAUUUAAUAAUAAAUCGACCAACAAAUAUUGAUGAAUCAUAAUAAAAAUUUACUAAAAUAUUGGUUUUGUUUCCAAUUGAAUAAGAAUAAUUUUGGGUUUAGGUAAUAAUUUUAAAGAUAUUGAUGGAAUUGUAUUAAAGGAUAAAAUUGAUUUUUAAAAUCAGAAUCUAAAAGCUACUUCUUACUUACUUUUCAAAAUCAUCUGUAGUAGAGGCUGAUUUUGACAAAAGUGAUUUUGAUUUUUUUUUUUUACCAAACACUAAAAUUAACUUUUAGAUUUUUAAAAUUAGUUUUAAAUCUCCUAAAAGCAAUCCCAAAUAGAGCCUAACUCUAUUAUAAAUUCUUAAUUAAUAGCUCAUCUAAUAUUUGGUGUUAAAACAUGGACAAAAUAUCACAAAUUGGUAGGUAAAUUUGGACAUUUCAUUUCCACGACAUAUAGUCAAGUUUAAGGCUGUGGCCCGACAAAUUAAUGACCUUACUUUGCUUAGUGUAACGUAAUGCAUGAGCUUCGAUAACUUCAUAUGUAAACUUUAGUUGCUUUCGUUAAAGUUCUAUAACAUCAGUCAUCUCCAUUUAAAAGACAGAAGAAGAAGAAGAUAAAACACGCGAUUUAAUUAUUUACGUCGAAUAUCUCUGAAGUAGAGAAUUACAUUACAAUAACAUACCAAAAGCUCUCAAAACUAAAACUCAAAAGCAAACAGUAACUGAAACCAAAGUAAACGAACUAUCACACGAACAUGGCAUUAAAACUAAACUUUCUUAAUAACGCGCACGGGAAUAACGUGCACGGGAAACCCUCAAACAGGAAAAACCUUGAUUAAUUAAAAGCAAGUAAAGAAGCCCUAAUGUCUUCUAAGGCUCCAACUAUUUCAAGGGAAAGGAAGCACUCCAGUGCCAAUGCCAACUCCACCGGCAGAACCACCACCAACGCCGCCACCAGCACCACCUCCAACGCCGCCGCCACCGCCAACGCCGCCACCCACGCCACCAACUCCACCAAGCCCACUUGAACCACCGAGCCCACUAGCACCACCGAGGCCACCGACUCCACCAAUUCCUCCAAGCCCACCAGCACCACCGAGGCCAGUAAUCCCACCAAGACCUCCAACUCCACCAAACGGAAGCCCAUUAGAACCAAUGCCGGAGAAGCCACCAACACCACCGUAUGUUAGAAAGUUCUUUUGAUCAUCAAGGCCAGCAUCAGUGGGCGCACUUUUGGCAGUGUUAUGAACCACUUGAUCAUCAUGAUCACUAGGCGUAUUUCUUGCACUAGUGUGAACCGCUGCUACAGCAAGAACAAGCAUGACAUUGGCACACCACUUUGCCAUCUCUCUCAAAGAUUAUUAUUAUUUGAUUACUAUUAUGAAUUUUUCUUCUUAGUACAUGUGAACUAUUGUUGCGGGAGUCUCCUUAUAAAGGCUAAGAGGGCAUUGGGGAGGUAGUUGUGGGUAGUAAAUAGAAUUGAAUGCGGGCAACUUAGCUGGCACACUCGCUCAUAAGGUCUGCUGUUUGAAAUAUAUAUUUUCAAGGAUUUGUGCUUAGAGUAAAAUUGUUAUAGGAGUCAUCGUAAUGGUUUAAACGCUUGGGGUACCAGCUGAAAGAAAGUUACUGCGAUGGCCAGAGUGGCAAAUGCAGAAAUAAACAUGCAUGCCAGAUAUGGUGGUGACAAAUGAAAUGCUGAUUAGGGAUGUGGCGUUCGGGCAUGUGAUAUGCAGAGAAACAUUUGCCCAACCAAUCAAGUAAUUACAUUUGGUUGGAAGAAAAGGGCCGAUGUGAAGUGAUUGACUCAAUUCUGGGCAUUAUUAAUUUCCUGGACCAUUUCCAAUGACAUGAAAAAUUUUAAACUGUGUGUGACAAGGAACCUUACCUUUUGAGUUUUGAGAGGAAAUGCAAAUCCUAAUUAAGCUGUGAAAAAGUAAAAUUAAAUGUUCUUGCGUUGCGGAGAAUUAAGUAAAAAGUCAUCGAGCCUUUUCACUGAGCUGUAGUCCAUAACUCAUAAUACGUAGUAGCACGUGGUCAAUUCUAAACAUCAAUUUUUUUUUAUUAAAAAAAACUCUAAACAUUGAAUUAAUUUGCAAGAAAUAUUUCUUUUUUUUUUUUCAUCUUGGUAUUAGACUUCUAUAUCAAACAUUUUCUACUGUCAUUAUACUUUUUAUUCUACUAAUUAAUUUGCUUAUCUAAUCUAAAAGAAAAAAAAUUCUUAUCUCAACUAAAUUUGCGUGUUUUGGUUACUUUACUCACUCACUUUGUCAAUCUAGUUUUCUCUAACUAAAGACUUUUAGUUAACAUGUACUGACACAUUAAUUUAAUGGUAAAAUCUGUCCAAUCCUUUGGGACCAUCGUAAUUCAAGAGUUUGGAAAAAGUUAAACACUAUUUGCACACAAAAUUAUAAAUAAAAAUGAAUUAAUAAAUUUGUACAAUUUUAUAUGCAAGUAGCAUUACUCAUGGCAAAAUUUGAAGCAGUUAAUGGUUUUAUAUAGGGUAAGUUGAUUAUUAAAGAAUUAGAUUGUUUUGUUAAAUCUGAUUGGUGGUUAUUAAAUAUAAAGUUUCCAUUCAAUAUUUUAAUUUACUGUUGAGUUGCAUUAAAUAUUGGUUGGUCAAUGGAAGUCAGCUGCUAAAUUCAAUGUCGACCUACAUUCAAUCUCUACCUAACAAGUUUAAUUUGGGAUCGGAUACCUGCACAUUCUAAGUCCACCCCAAAUAUUACACUCCACCAUUCCCAACUCUUUACACCUAAAUUGAGAAAAUCGUUUGGAGAAAAUAUUGGUCAACACUAAUUGAAUCGUUGACUUAAACUAUAGGAAAUAAUAGAACAUUUACAACUGAGAAAAGUUUAGUAACACGACACAUAAAUUCUCCACCAGUUUUAUUUUUUCCUCUAUGUAUAGUAGUGUCUUUCAGCUAUAGGAUCAUUUUUCUAAUAUAUAAAUUAUCAUUAAAAUACAUGCUUAUUGAUAACGUAUUAUCAGUUUUGAUAUUCAGUUAUUGAUUCACCGAUCAUCCAAUUGAAGAAACGUGUUUUCAUUUCUUGAAUAAAACAUUAUACACUGAGAGUUAUUUAUAGAUGCAGAUGCUACAUUUUUUCAAAGAUUACAUAUGUAAAUACGGAAGGAAAUAGGUCUGUGUUGUGCGCGAGAGCUGGGCUGACGCUGGUGCUGCGUUGCGUUGCGCGCGCGGGACUGAUGUACUGCGCGAGGGUGAUUGCUGGAUUGAUUUGCGCUGUGCGCGCGAGCUGGAGCUGAGGAUCUGCGUUGCUAGGCGUUACUGCUGCUGCUUCGCGGGAUGUGUUGCGUGCACGGUUGCUGCUGAUUUCGCACAAUGGUGAUGGCUGGGGCUUGCUGCGUUGCACGCGGCUGCUUUCGCUGGUGGGACUUCGUUGCGCGCUGCUGGGCUGCGAGACACGGGAUGCUGGUGUUGCGCUCACGAGAUGGUGCGUUUUCCGGCGGGCUGGUUUGCUGCUGGUGUGCUGCAAGCGGCUGGAGAAGAAAACAAGUUCUGGAAAAUUAGGGAUUUUGUGAACAGUGAAUAGUGAACAGUGAUUUUCGAUUUUUGGUUUUUUUUUAAAUAAAUAAACAUAAUCAUUAAAGAACAUAUAUGGGAAUUAAAUAAAUAAAUAAAAUAAUUAUUUCAUUGAAUAGGGUUUCAUCUUUAACCUCAGUAUAAGAAAAUUAGCUGGACAUACUUAAAUUGGGAGCAACAAAAAAAAUAAAAUCAGCCAUGGGAAGCCGAAAUAUUGCUGCUGCAACUGGUCUCUUCCAACCUGACAUACUUGAAUUGGGAGCAACAAAAGAAAUAAAAUCAGCCAUGGGAAGCUUCCUUUUCCAAUUAUGAAACAAAGCUUCCAUAAUAACGCCAGCCAUUAAUUCCACUUUUGAAAGUCAAGUGUGGGCCCCAUUUAAAUUGCUUUCCCCUUUUGCAAUGCUAUGGACGUGCAACUCAAUUGGAGAAUUGAAAUUCUUUUUCAAUGCAAAUUGCUCUUAGCUCUUAACUCUAUCACAGCUUCAACUAAUAUUUCUCUAAAUUAUUAUUUUUUUUGCACUUUUUAUUUCCAAUCUCCAAUUAAUUUCCUAUUCAAUAAAACAAUUCAAUUAAUUAAAAAUAACAAAUAAAAUUAACUAGCAAAUAUACAAUAAAGGGUAAAAUAUGUAUAUAAAUUAUGCUCAUCACAUUGCUUAAUAUUUAUUAUUAUGGUUGGUUGAAUUAUAUACAUGGCAAUUAAUGAAUGAAAAUACAGGUGCUCCUGAAUCCCAAAACAUUUCCACGACAUAUAGUCAAGUUUAAGGCUGUGGCCCGACAAAUUAAUGACCUUACUUUGCUUAGUGUAACAUAAUGCAUGAGCUUCGAUAACUUCAUAUGUAAACUUUAGUUGCUUUAGCUAAGGUUCUAUAACAUCAGUCAUCUCCAUUUAAAAGACAGAAGAAGAAGAUAAAACACGCGAUUAAAUUAUUUACGUCGAAUAUCUCUGAAGUAGAGAAUUACAUUACGAUAACAUACCAGAAGCUCUCAAAGCUAAAAAUCAAAAGCAAACAGUAACUGAAGCCGAAGUAAACGAACUAUCACACGAACAUGACAUUAAACUAAACUUUCUUAAUAACGUGCACGGGAAACCCUCAAACAGGAAAAACCUUGAUUAAUUAAAAGCAAGUAAAGAAGCCCUAAUGUCUUCUAAGGCUCCAACUAUUUCAAUGGAAAGGAAGCACUCCGGUGCCAGUGCCAACUCCACCGGCAGAACCACCACCAACGCCGCCACCAGCACCACCGCCAACGCCGCCACCCACGCCACCAACUCCACCAAGCCCACUUGAACCACCGAGACCACCGACUCCACCAAUUCCUCCAAGCCCACCAGCACCACCGAGGCCAGUAACGCCAGCAAGACCUCCAACUCCACCAAGCGGAAGCCCAUUAGAACCAAUGCCGGAGAAGCCACUGACACCACCGUAUGUUAGAAAGUUCUUUUGAUCAUCAAGGCCAGCACCAGAGGGUGCAUUUUUGGCAGCGUUAUGAACCACUUGAUCAUCAUGAUCACUAGGCGUGUUUCUUGCACUAGUGUGAACCGCUACUACAGCAAGAACAAGCAUGACAGUGAC